GUAUUAUAUGUUUUAUCGCCAUGCAAACCUACAAAGAACUUAUAUAUAACUUCCCAACGAAGAGCUUUCGCUUGAAACGUCACGUUUUACUUGUAUUUUUCAACAAUCCCUCUCACAUUUAUCCCUGUGUGUCAUAUUUAUAAACUACUGUAUCUAUUUUGAAAGCUUUAUGUAUUAACCCAGUCUCGGUAUAAACACGAGAUCGCGUCCUUUCCAGGCCAUGUCUUCUCUUCCAACGUUGGUAGAACAUCCGAAACUCGGGACUGCGAAAGUAGUAUAUAAGUGGAUCUAAGACGAUGUUAAGUACCAUCAAUGGGGAGAGAAAUGCAGUAUAUCUUUGAAAAUCCACCUCUUCUUUCUUGCUGCCAUAGAGAAAGAAAAUUAACAUCAAUGGCAGCCAUGCAAGUAUGAAUGUUGCACUAACCAUUGUGACUGUUUUUACAGACUUUAAGUCUUCCUUAAGAUUUCUUUGUAAUCCUGUCACGACUCCGUGAAAAGUUUCUUUUAUUUUUCUAACAUGUUUUCUUGACAUAUAAAACAUGUAGAGAUUGGAUGAGACGAAUGCUAGUACUAAGAACAUCAUGUAGUAUCGUCCAUAGUUAAAGAAAUUGCCAUCGGAGUAGACUAAGUAGCCAAUCAAAUGCAGUAACGUUAAUAUCGAUGCAGCGGCCCAUACGAGCGCCACCAGGAGCUUGGCACGUAAAGGAGUCAUCCUUCGUGCAUAUUUAAGAGGCCACGUUAUGGAUAUCAAGCGGUUAAUAGUCAACAGACAUACACUGCCCAGUGAUGAAAAUAGCGUGAAAGUGAAUAAGCAAUACGCAGCUUCCCAAUUCCAGUAAAACAUAUGAGAUAUAUAAAAUAUU